rnacentral:rRNA from 1 species
UGGGGAAUAUUGGACAAUGGGGGGAACCCUGAUCCAGCCAUGCCGCGUGUGUGAAGAAGGCCUUAUGGUUGUAAAGCACUUUAAGCGAGGAGGAGGGUACUGGUAUUAAUACUACCAGCUACUGGACGUUACUCGCAGAAUAAGCACCGGCUAACUCUGUGCCAGCAGCCGCGGUAAUACAGAGGGUGCGAGCGUUAAUCGGAUUUACUGGGCGUAAAGCGCGCGUAGGCGGCUAAUUAAGUCAAAUGUGAAAUCCCCGAGCUUAACUUGGGAAUUGCAUUCGAUACUGGUUAGCUAGAGUGUGGGAGAGGAUGGUAGAAUUCCAGGUGUAGCGGUGAAAUGCGUAGAGAUCUGGAGGAAUACCGAUGGCGAAGGCAGCCAUCUGGCCUAACACUGACGCUGAGGUGCGAAAGAAUGGGGAGCAAACAGG